GCCUCCGUGGCGCAAUCUGGCUAGCGCGUUCGGCUGUUAACCGAAAGGUUGGUGUAGUUCAGAGCUGGCGGGGCG